GCACGUUGUUGAUCAUAUUCAAAUGAGAGAUGACGAACAGUCUGGGUUCGCGCGUUGGAGAAGCUUCACGUACUUCUAAAAACUCUCUGAGAAUAGUGAAAAUUUUCAUUAAACCACGUGCCCUUGCCCAAAAACUUUUAUUUUUUUGUGACCUUGCCUUCUUGCUAUGCAUGGCAAAAUUCUCGAAGGAAGAGUGAUAUUCAGUUUGAGAUGAGAAACACGUGCAAGAAACCUCGAGCGUGGCUCGUAGGGAACAUUUGAACACAUUAACUUUCAGCAGUGCUCUCCAUCUCUGUGGCUUGGCCUACCACAUGAAAAUAAGUGAGAUUAUUUGUUUGGGCCCAUGCAGUUUGUGCAUCAGGUCUGCUUUGUUCACCAUGCUGUAACUAUUCUGGAUCCAAGGUGGCUGUGGAUCAAAUGUCCACCAUGAGCCACGUUUUCAACAUUUCCACGAGAUUGCACGGCGCUGCAGCGUUACCUUUCAGGAAGAACCACUUGGCCAAGAUUCCUUUUCUCUUCAAGAGAUGGGCGGGCACUUCCGUAUUCGACGCCGACAAAAUCUUUCACCACCAACGAGACAAGUCAUCUGUCACGCGAUUUCGGGCACGUUCACGUAGAAAAAAAUUCAAAUUUUUUUGGAGCCGGAUUUCAAGAACGGAAGAAUGGACUAUGCAGAUACAUCAAGACCGAAGUUAAUUUGCUGGUCAAAUAUUGAAACGAGAGACACGGCAAUCAAAGAAGAAAUACAAACGAUGGGAUUACACCACAAAAAAAAUCAAGAUAUGCCUAAAUAAACAGCAUCCCAUUCCAAAUGUUCCAACGUGAAAUCCCACAUGCGGCGUGGGGUUCAUCCAAAACAAGAGCAAGGCUGGAUCAGUGAACCGUUCCAAAGAAACAGCGGCUGUUCAUCAAGACGUUUCGACGAAUCGGGAGCUUCUCCGCCUAGCGGAUGCGUCCGCUUCUGGCUGAUUAUCGGGACCAAACGGUCUUGGAUGGAUUGUGACGCGGCCGCCAACCAACAACCACAAUGAACCAGCGGUUCCAGAUCAGACGGUUGUUUACGAUGCAGUGGCUCCUGAUGGCUCUCGCUUUUCUUCUAGUGGCUACCGCAUCCAAUCGCGAGCGAAGCGGCACGCAUCAGCAGUUCGUUCGCAAUAAUCAUCACCACAGACGGAACGGCAAUUCUACGUCGAGAAAUGCUGGCGGGAAACGAGCGGCCGUGCAAGUCACGUCACCGGUCCCCGACUCGUCGCCGUACCUCGCCAGCGACAACGCACCGCCAAAGACGAUCAUCUCCGUUCAGACGUCGCUCAACGGCAACAUCUUUAUGCAUUGCCCAGUGGACAUGACCGAGGACUUCCAGGUUUCUUGGGUGCGGCUACCCGACUGGCGAAUCGUUGCCUCCGGACGGAAUAUUUACAACAAGGACGAGCGGUUCCGAGUUUUGCAUGUCGAAGGCACCGACGAAUGGACGUUACAGAUCAAAUACGCUGCAUUGGUCGAUCAAGGCCUUUAUGAAUGCCAGGUAUCGACCGAAACGGGCAUCAUGAUUUAUUACUACAACGUCAGUGUCAUCGUGCCGGACACGUCAAUCAUCGGUGGCAGUGAAUAUCACGUCGACAUGGGCAGCGCUAUCCAGUUGACUUGCAUCAUCAGAAAUAUUCCUCAGGAGCCACAGUUUGUCUUUUGGUAUCAUAAUGACCGGAUGAUCAAUUACGACUCGAUUACUGACAGCAGCGGUUCCAAAACAGCGAUGGACGAUGCGAGUAGCAGUUCACCGUCCAGCAGCCGGACAAAAGCCAGGGCUCGUCCUCGAGUCGAGGUCGUCACUGAAAUAGAAAGCAAUUCAAUGACGAACGACGGCGAGCAACGUGAAGGUGCAGCAGAUCGAAGUGUCACUAGCCAGUUGACGAUACGUCACGUAACUGACGUGGAUUCUGGCAACUAUACCUGCGCUCCAUCCAACGCCGAACCGGCCAGCACCAUGGUCUACGUCUCUGAAGGAGAUGAUGCUGCUGCCGCUAUUCAAGUGAGUGUCGGAGAAACGACUAACGUCAGCGAUGUUGUUCCAGCUAAUUCAGCCGUUUCAGCGGCUUCGUCGCCCAUUUCCACGGCGUCUGCCGCCACGUCGUCCGUCACGUCGUCGCUUGCCGUUCUCGUUUUUUGCUGCCUGACGCUGGCCAAUUGUCACAUCGGCCGAAGAUGAUUCCCUUUCCUUCUUUACUUCCGGAACGAUGGAAACGAUGGAAAAUAAUACCGUACCAAAAAGUCACACACAAAAACAAAAACAAAUGAGAAGAAAAAUAUUCAAGAAACAGAUUGAAAUUUUUUUUUUAAAUUCCCUCGCGGGGUUGUUUUCCCGGGUGAUGGGAAAGAACAUAAAAAAAAAAAAUAAAUAACCUACCGGAGAAACAUACAAUUACAAUCAAGUGAUUCUAUUGUGUGUGUGGGUGUGUGUUGUGUGGAUUUUGAUCGUCCAUUCGAAUCGCAUUCUCGAGCUGUUUUGAAUGCCAAUCUCCUCCUCUAAUUGAUUUCAAAGAUAUAUUUAUAAACAAGUAUAUACAUAAUUAUUAAUGAUAAUGACAAGUAGCAUGGGGUUGCGAUUCCUCUGCUGACACAUGUACAAUCUGGUGUUGAUUGACCCAACAUUUCAAUUCAGUUGCAUGUCAAAACAAAAACACACUGCUAUCCCCUUUCGUUCUGAUUUUUCAUCAAUUGUGAAUCUCUUUUUGUUGUCCUCCACUAAUUGGGAUUCCAUUUAUGAUAUUUGUAUGUCUUCAUCUUUUUCAAAAGAUAGAUCCACAAAAAAUGUUGGUUGACUGAUUGGGGGAUGUGUGCAUUGUUUCAUGAAUCAGGUAACUUUAUUUUAUUUUAUUUUGUUUUAUAUCGUUGUGGUUUUUCUUUUUUGUUUUGUUUUGUUUUCACAAAAGAAAAAUGAAAAGAAACAAAAAAUGUAUUACUCGAGCCCAGAUCUAUUGUAGUAAAUGCAUGUCAUUUUGCUUAUCCAUCCUUAACGAUGGGUAGCUCAAAUAGUCUGCAACUAACUACUUUAGUACCUGAGGCAACUGCUAAAAAUUAAUAACCAGUGUUCAAAGAUGGCCGAAACACUGGCAUAUUGUAAAUUGACAAAUACUUUGUUUUCAUGACGUCGUUCAUUGUAAAGAAUGGACCGUCGUCUUUUUAACUACAUCCAAGUUUGCCCUAAAAAAAAAUGUGAAGCCCUGAUCACACGUCUCAACAGCGCGCAUAAUCUUCAUUAUCUGUGUAUCUGCUGCGUGAUGGUUGUCAAGUGCGGAGCAACAGCCAAUACAUUCUGACAUUCAAAAAGGA
rnacentral:misc_RNA from 1 species